AUAAGGAUCACCGUUUGGAACUGCCGGGGUUUGGGGAAUGGCCCGGCAGUUCGGGGGCUUCUGGACCUCCAGAAGCGGGUGGACCCCGAUAUUCUUUUCUUAUCCGAGACAAAAUUGGAUGGGAGAAGGAAGCAAUGGAUAAAAUACCUAUUGGGAAUGCCAAGUAUGGUGGUAAGGGAUUGUGAAGGAAAGAGCGAUUGGCUUGCUUUAAUGUGGAAGAGACAUGUGAAA
rnacentral:rRNA from 1 species